rnacentral:rRNA from 1 species
GUGUCAGCCGCCGCGGUAAUACGGAGGGUGCAAGCGUUAUCCGGAUUUACUGGGUUUAAAGGGUGCGUAGGCGGCCUUGUAAGUCCGUGUUGAAAGGCUACGGCUUAACCGUAGUAAGGCAUGGAUACUGCGAGGCUUGAGUACAGUGGGGGCAGAUGGAAUUGGUGGAGUAGCGGUGAAAUGCAUAGAUACCACCAGGAACACCGAUAGCGAAGGCAGUCUGCUACGCUGUAACUGACGCUGAGGCACGAAAGCGUGGGGAGCAAACAGGAUUAGAUACCCUGGUAGUCCACGCCGUAAACGAUGGAUACUCGGUGUCAGCCCUUGUGGGUUGGUGCCUAAGCGAAAGCGAUAAGUAUCCCACCUGGGGAGUACGCCGGCAACGGUGAAACUCAAAGGAAUUGGCGGGG